ensembl:lncRNA LINC00320 long intergenic non-protein coding RNA 320
GUUCUUUAGUAGAAGGAUAACAUGACAUAGCAGGAAUAAUACUGCCUUUUCUUUCUGGCAUGGAUCAAGAGAAAAGAAAAUACAAGAAAACAGACAGAAGUGGAAAUAUGCUUCCUUUUCUAGAUCCUAUCUGCGACAAUUAAGAGCACUCUAAGAGGAAAACACAUCCCACCACACAAGGCAAGGUACUUCUAUGGAAGGGUGAGCCCUCACAGAUGGAGCAAUGGGGCGCGCACACCUGAACAAGGGAGGGGAAGGAGUUCUUAUCCCUGAUGCAUGUGACCCCUGCUGCUGUGUCCUUCCCCUAUUGGCUAAGGCUUCUGACAGCUUUGGAGAUUGUGACAUUGGAAUAAAGGAAAAACGUACAGGACUCAUGAAGCGCUGAAAUGUUCACAAAUAUCAAGCAAAAGUCAAUGAAAUUUAUUUUGAGCUAUUUACAUCAUUUAAUAAUUGAGCAAGGUAUACUCCUAUGAACAAAAUUUGGAGCAUGUUUGUCUCUCUCUGCCUGGCGUCUUCAGAAUUUGGAAACUAGUUAGUCAUGGAAAUUUAUUUUGAGCUAUUUACAGCAUUUAAUAAUUGAGCAAGGUAUACUCCUAUGAACAAAAUUUGGAGCAUGUUUGUCUCUCUCUGUCUGCCUGGCAUCUACAGAAUUUGGAAACUAGUUUCGUUCCCAGAUUUCCUAAACUUUCCAGAGAAAAUGGUCUUCUCCCUGGCUCAGCAAGAAGAUGAACUUUAAACACUGAGAAACUGGUCAUCUCCCUGGCUCAACCAGAAGAUGAACUUUAAACACUACUCUCAAUGACUUGAUGUUCCCAUCACUACUCCUGUCAUAAAGGGAGGGGACUCAGAUAUUGAGAAUUUUAUGAUAGUGUGAACUGUCUGGUAUGUCAUUUAAGUAAGCCCGUUGCUGAAAUAUUUUCCAUGUUAUUAGAAAGAGCUGAAGAGAGGGAUUGAGAUGGCUUCUUUAUUUUUUGUCUUUUGGGAAUUAAAGGAACCUGGUUCAACAAGGGCCUACACCUAAGUCUCUUGUUGUACCAGAGUACAAUUUAGGACUGCUCCUGAGGAAGGAAUUAGCUAGAAAUCUAGAGAGUAAGGGUAACAGAUUUACAUAGAAUAACAGCCUCAGUAUUUUUGGUUCCUCUCCAGUAAAGAUCACAAAGAAUAUUGCUAAAUCGCUAAAACACCUUUGCAAUAACGUAAGGGCUUACAACUAUAUACCAAUGUAGCUCAGUUACUAAACUGGAGUAAACUAAUUUCUCUUGUGUAGAAAAAUUGGUUGGCUGUGGUUUUAUAGCAGAUCUGCAAUUAUUAAUAGUUAUGCCAAUAAUCGUUUAACAGUGCAUAUGUUAAUAUAUAUGGAAAGACAAUGUGUAUAGACAGAUGUGUAAAAUUGAAAAAUAAACAUAUAACAAGAGAGAAACAUCUAUCGAACAGACAAUAUACAUACACAUCAAACACAACAGCAGUUUUAGUGACCAUAAUAUUUAUUUCUCAUUUUUACAUUGCUUACUUUAGUGACAACUGAAAAUGACAGUUGGCAAUGCAGCUAACAGUUUCAAUAAAAGUAUAAAACAAAAGACUGUGUACAAAGCACCUGUCUUUCCGCUUUUGUAAUCUUCCGUUGGAAAAAAUUUACACACCUAAGUAACCAUCUGUUUUCUUCAAGAAAAAAUCAUUCUUAUUUCUCUCUCUCAUCUUGAAAACAGCUGUCAGCCAGGAGGGCAGAGCUGAAAUUUAUUGCCACAUCACAUGAAGCAUAGAACAGACUCCACUACUCCUUGAGAUUCAAAACUUUGCCUCUCACAAAGUUACCUUUUAUUUUCCUCUUGUUUGUCACUCAUCUCCCCUAGUGUGCUCUUUUUAUUUCUUUUACUAUUAAUAAUAAAAUC